AUGGAGACGGACUGCCUGGAGAUUGUGAAUCUCUGGAACGAUCGCCACAACACUCGCUCGAUUGUGGCUCCUAUUUUGGUAGAGAUUGGAGAGCUUACUAUGUCGUUUGAUUUUUUAAUUCAACAUGUAAGUAGGACAGCUAAUCUCCCGGCUCACUUAUGUGCGAAGCGUGCCUGCUUGCUUAUGGUGACUGAGAGUUGGUUGGACUUAGAACCCUUGUUCCUGGUCACGAGCCUGUUGGCGGAUGAUCGUAGGAGCUCCUUUGUUUGA
rnacentral:rRNA from 1 species